UUUGAUCGGCUCAGAUUGAACGCUAUGGCGGGAUGCUUUAUCAAGUCGAACGGCAGCGGACUUCAGGUGCAAUUUGGCGAGGUAGCGAACGGGUGAGUAAUGUCGGAACAGUGCCUAGUAGCGGGGGAUAACCACGCAGCGUAGCUAAUACCGCAUACGCCCUUCGGGGGAAAGCGGGGGACCUUCGGGCUCGCGCUAUUAGAGCAGCCGAUAUCGGAUUAUGUGGGUUGUUGGUGGGGUAACGGCUCACCAAGGCGACGAUCCGUAGCUGGUUUUGGGGAGGACGACCAGCCACACUGGGACUGAGACACGGCCCAGACUCCUACGGGAGGCAACAGUGGGGAAUUUUGGACAAUGGGGAAACCCUGAUCCAGCCAUCCCGCGUGUGCGAUGAAGGCCUUCGGGUUGGCAAGCACUUUUGGCAGAAGAAACGGCACGGGAUAAUACCCGUGCAACUGACGGUACCUGCAGAAUAAGCACCGGCUAACUACGUGCCAGCAGCCGCGGUAAUACGUAGGGUGCAAGCGUUAAUCGGAGUUACUGGGCGUAAAGCGUGCGCAGGCGGUUCCGGAAGAAGAUGUGAAAUCCCAGAGCUUAACUUACUGGAACUGCAUUUUAACUACCGAGCUAAGUGUGUCGAAGGAGGUGGUCCGCGUGUAGCAGUGAAAUGCGUAGAUAUGCGGAGGAACACCGAUGGCGAAGGCAGCCUCCUGGGAUGCCACUGACGCUCAUGCACGAAAGCGUGGGAGCAAACAGUUAGAAUACCCUGGUGAUCCACGCCUAAACGAUGUCCAACUAACAAUUGAAGGCCUUCGGGCCUUGGUAUGCAGCUAACGCGUGAAGUUGACCGCCGCAAGGAAGUACGGUCGCGAGAUUGAACUCAAAGGAAUUGACGGGGACCCGCACAAGCGGUGGAUGAUGUGGAUUAAUUCGAUGCAACGCGAAAAACCUUACCUACCCUUGACAUAUCUUGGAAUCGAAGAGAUUUGGGAGUGCUCGCAAGAGAACCGGAACACAGGUGCUUACAUGGCUGUCGUCAGCUCGUGUCGGAUGUUGGGUUAAGUCCCGCAAUGAAGCGCAACCCUUGUCGUGGAUUUUGCUACGAGGGGCACUCAUCCAAGACUGCAGGUGACAAACCGGAGGAAGGUGGGGAUGACGUCAAGUCCUCAUAGCCCUUAUGAAUGGGGCCUACACCCGUCAUACAAUGGUCGGGACAGGGUCGCCAACCCGCGAGAGGCCAAUCCCGAAAGCCGAUCGUAGUCCGGAUCGCAGUCUGCAACUCGACUGCGUGAAGUCGGAAUCGCUAAUAAUCGCGGAUCAGCAUGUCGCGGUGAAUACGUUCCCAGGUCUUGUACACACCGCCCGUCACACCAUGGGAGUGGGUUUUACCAGAAGUAGUUAGCCUAACCGUAAGGGCGAUUACCACGGUAGGAUUCAUGACUGGGGUGAAGUCGUAACAAGGUAG
rnacentral:rRNA from 1 species